rnacentral:rRNA from 1 species
AGUUGGAAACGACUGCUAAUACCUUAUACUCCGUAUCUAUAUAAGUAGGUACGGGAAAGUUUUUCGGUAAUGGAUAGGGCUAUAUCGUAUCAGCUAGUUGGUAAGGUAACGGCUUACCAAGGCUAUGACGCGUAACUGGUCUGAGAGGAUGAUCAGUCACACUGGAACUGAGACACGGUCCAGACUCCUACGGGAGGCAGCAGUAGGGAAUAUUGCUCAAUGGGGGAAACCCUGAAGCAGCAACGCCGCGUGGAGGAUGACACUUUUCGGAGCGUAAACUCCUUUCUUGGGAAAGAAUUAUGACGGUACCCAAGGAAUA